rnacentral:rRNA from 1 species
CCUACGGGCGGCAGCAGUGAGGAAUAUUGGUCAAUGGACGAGAGUCUGAACCAGCCAAGUAGCGUGAAGGAUGACUGCCCUAUGGGUUGUAAACUUCUUUUAUAUGGGAAUAAAACGUUCCACGUGUGGGAUUUUGUAUGUACCAUAUGAAUAAGGAUCGGCUAACUCCGUGCCAGCAGCCGCGGUAAUACGGAGGAUCCGAGCGUUAUCCGGAUUUAUUGGGUUUAAAGGGAGCGUAGGUGGAUUGUUAAGUCAGUUGUGAAAGUUUGCGGCUCAACCGUAAAAUUGCAGUUGAAACUGGCAGUCUUGAGUACAGUAGAGGUGGGCGGAAUUCGUGGUGUAGCGGUGAAAUGCUUAGAGAUCACGAAGAACUCCGAUUGCGAAGGCAGUUCACUGGACUGCAACUGACACUGAGGCUCGAAAGUGUGGGUAUCAAACAGGAUUAGAUACCCGUGUAGUC